GGAAAGUGAAACGUUUUUAUGUCAUGAGCUCCAGGUCGCGGAACAAAAUCAGCUGAUUUCAAACAUGAGGGAGCCGUCAACUACGUUAUUUAUCAGUAUUUAUGUUUUGUCGAUAUUUACAGCCGACAAAUGGGUAAGUUUUAAGUCACAAUUUUGACAUUCCACUUAGUUAAACGUCAAGAGUCAUUUCGUUCUCGCAGAUUCGUCUCUUCCGGGAUUCACCGAGGCGUUAAUUUAAGUACACAUGAUUCAUAUUCAUUUUUGAUGUAGUUGGCAGUGAUUUAGAACGACAAUACAUACUGAUAAAUGUUAAUAUUUUUUCCACAUUUAAUAAUGUAAGCGAAGGGAAGUGUCUGUUCCUAUGUGUCGUUCAAAAUGUCAAUAUUUUCUUAAUAUCGGUACAUUUGCGAUACACUUUUUUUUUAGCUAAUCUUGUGGCAAGUGAGUGUUCUUGUCUCAAAAAGAGGAUGUGUCGAAAAAAUAGAGACGAGGAGAGGGAAAAAAUAACCACAAUGGCAUCCGGUGGAGUUUUUCCUUGUCCUGAUUGAUAGACUACAAUUCUCCACAUGUUGGUCUCCUGUUCAUCAUUCGUGUCAAUAGUUGGGGGCCUCAGCAGAAGAUUUUGAGGGAUCAAGCUCAGGUGGUACUAUCAGUGAUGGAGAAACUGAAACUAAAGAUAAUGGUGACUCAAAACCGACUUUGAAAUAUUUAAAAUGGCUUGCAGAAGACACAGAGCCAGCCAUUUUUAUUGAGACAAAAGGCAACAGCUUCUUGGAGAAUGAAGACAUUGUUGCAGGUACUCACUUUAUGGUAUAUUUUAAAAAAGAGGAUAUAAAUAUGUACGUGUGUUGGGGGGGU